AGAGUUUGAUCCUGGCUCAGGAUGAACGCUAGCGACAGGCUUAACACAUGCAAGUCGAGGGGCAGCGGGGAGUAGCAAUACUUCGCCGGCGACCGGCGCACGGGUGAGUAACACGUGUGCAACCAACCCCGUACCGGGAGAUAACCCGCGGAAACGUGGACUAACAUCCCAUGAUACUCGAGAGCCGCAUGGCUCUCGAUUUAAAAUUCCGGUGGUACGGGACGGGCACGCGCGACAUUAGGUAGUUGGCGGGGUAACGGCCCACCAAGCCGACGAUGUCUAGGGGUUCUGAGAGGAAGGUCCCCCACACUGGAACUGAGACACGGUCCAGACUCCUACGGGAGGCAGCAGUGAGGAAUAUUGGUCAAUGGGCGAGAGCCUGAACCAGCCAAGUCGCGUGAGGGAAGAAUGGUCUAUGGCCUGUAAACCUCUUUUGUCAGGGAAGAAUAAGGAUGACGAGUCAUUCGAUGCCAGUACUUGACGAAUAAGCAUCGGCUAACUCCGUGCCAGCAGCCGCGGUAAUACGGGGGAUGCGAGCGUUAUCCGGAUUUAUUGGGUUUAAAGGGCGCGUAGGCGGGACGUCAAGUCAGCGGUAAAAGACUGCAGCUAAACUGUAGCACGCCGUUGAAACUGGCGCCCUGGAGACGAGACGAGGGAGGCGGAACAAGUGAAGUAGCGGUGAAAUGCAUAGAUAUCACUUGGAACCCCGAUAGCGAAGGCAGCUUCCCAGGCUCGUUCUGACGCUGAUGCGCGAGAGCGUGGGUAGCGAACAGGAUUAGAUACCCUGGUAGUCCACGCCGUAAACGAUGCUCACUGGAUCUUGGCGAUACACAGCCAGGGUUCAAGCGAAAGUAUUAAGUGAGCCACCUGGGGAGUACGUCGGCAACGAUGAAACUCAAAGGAAUUGACGGGGGCCCGCACAAGCGGAGGAACAUGUG
rnacentral:rRNA from 1 species